UGUACAGAUUGUCAAGGACUCGUGUGUGUUCUUCUCGCCCUGGGCUAUACACAAAGACAAUGCCCUGUGCCCCUUGCUGAAUGACAGGCCAGCAAGUCUCGUACCUAGUGAGAGAAAGAGUUUGAAAUGAUGAGUCAAAAGGUUCAACUUCGACGCUAGAUGCAGUAUUGUUGUAGGCUACAUUAGGCACUUCAAAUUCCAGAAUCCUGCAGCCUUUUGUGGGUCUGUACUCCCCACUUCCCACUUCUCCAGCCUCACUCAGAAAAUUGUAUCAUCAAGCUGUCUACAUUUGGUUUCUAACAUUGUGGCCAAAUUCAUAUAUAAAAUGCAGCAUGUAAAUUAUGAAAGAAAAUUCCAAGAACAGAAGCUAGUUUUUUCCCAACAAAGGAUUUUUUGAGAUGCAAAACAGAAGUUGUUUCUGGAGAGGAUCAUUUUCUAGUCAUGUGACAUGUGCUAUAUAUUUAAGAUAUUGAGGUUUGCAGAAGUUCUUGAUUUUCAUUAUUCAUUUUGAAAGUCUAACUUUUUUCUGCAGUCAGCAUACUGGUAUCAUUAUUGUCCUUUGGAACAUUUGAAUGUUUAAUACUACCUUUAGUUAUUCUUUGUGGAAAACCAUGCCAUACUGAUUCCAAUUUCAGUAUAUCAUAUUAUUUAUCAUAUAGUAUUUAGAAGAAAAUCUAGAAUCAUUUUGGGUAAUGGUCUGGAUAUUGUGCUCAUGACAAAGACUGAAUGAUAAUUCUUGUCUAGACUCUUUAAUACUUUCUUACAUAGGUAAGUUAUUAUAGCUGAUAACCAUGACUGAAGCACUUUUACCAAUGUCCAUAUUAUUGAUAGAAGGAGUAAAAUUGCAUUUAUUAGCUUGUUAGAAUUUGCAUAUUUUAGUUGCUCUGCAUAGAUUUUGUCUGUUGCAUGACUUUGCAUUUGUUAUUUUUGGGAGAGUUAAUGGUUUUGAUCAAUUCUUCUUUAUUUGGACUUUCUUCAUUCACAGGAAUUUCAUUUGAAGGUAGACUAUAGUUGAACAAAUGGGGAUUCUCAACUUCAGGCUGUAUGUCAAUCCCUCCCUCUGCAAAGUAUGAUUCAAAAUGUUGUGCAAGUUUUUUGGAUGCAAUUAGAAGCCAAUUAGAUUCCUUCUUCCUUUCAGAACUCAGCUUCAACAUCAUGUGCUUCAGCCACUAUGUUUUUGGCUGCUGCCUUUUUGCUGAAAUAUGCAUCUUUUAUUUUAUUACAAAGCUUUUCCUCAUUCUUGUUUAGUUUUACUCAUUCUUCUCUAUUCUUGCAGUUCUUAAAAACUUUUAUCAUUUCAA
rnacentral:lncRNA from 1 species